rnacentral:rRNA from 1 species
AAAUUGAAGAGUUUGAUCAUGGCUCAGAUUGAACGCUGGCGGCAGGCCUAACACAUGCAAGUCGAACGGUAACAGGAAACAGCUUGCUGUUUCGCUGACGAGUGGCGGACGGGUGAGUAAUGUCUGGGAAACUGCCUGAUGGAGGGGGAUAACUACUGGAAACGGUAGCUAAUACCGCAUAACGUCGCAAGACCAAAGAGGGGGACCUUCUGGCCUCUUGCCAUCGGAUGUGCCCAGAUGGGAUUAGCUAGUAGGUGGGGUAACGGCUCACCUAGGCGACGAUCCCUAGCUGGUCUGAGAGGAUGACCAGCCACACUGGAACUGAGACACGGUCCAGACUCCUACGGGAGGCAGCAGUGGGGAAUAUUGCACAAUGGGCGCAAGCCUGAUGCAGCCAUGCCGCGUGUAUGAAGAAGGCCUUCGGGUUGUAAAGUACUUUCAGCGGGGAGGAAGGGAGUAAAGUUAAUACCUUUACUCAUUGACGUUACCCGCAGAAGAAGCACCGGCUAACUCCGUGCCAGCAGCCGCGGUAAUACGGAGGGUGCAAGCGUUAAUCGGAAUUACUGGGCGUAAAGCGCACGCAGGCGGUUUGUUAAGUCAGAUGUGAAAUCCCCGGGCUCAACCUGGGAACUGCAUCUGAUACUGGCAAGCUUGAGUCUCGUAGAGGGGGGUAGAAUUCCAGGUGUAGCGGUGAAAUGCGUAGAGAUCUGGAGGAAUACCGGUGGCGAAGGCGGCCCCCUGGACGAAGACUGACGCUCAGGUGCGAAAGCGUGGGGAGCAAACAGGAUUAGAUACCCUGGUAGUCCACGCCGUAAACGAUGUCGACUUGGAGGUUGUGCCCUUGAGGCGUGGCUUCCGGAGCUAACGCGUUAAGUCGACCGCCUGGGGAGUACGGCCGCAAGGUUAAAACUCAAAUGAAUUGACGGGGGCCCGCACAAGCGGUGGAGCAUGUGGUUUAAUUCGAUGCAACGCGAAGAACCUUACCUGGUCUUGACAUCCACAGAACUUUCCAGAGAUGGAUUGGUGCCUUCGGGAACUGUGAGACAGGUGCUGCAUGGCUGUCGUCAGCUCGUGUUGUGAAAUGUUGGGUUAAGUCCCGCAACGAGCGCAACCCUUAUCCUUUGUUGCCAGCGGUCCGGCCGGGAACUCAAAGGAGACUGCCAGUGAUAAACUGGAGGAAGGUGGGGAUGACGUCAAGUCAUCAUGGCCCUUACGACCAGGGCUACACACGUGCUACAAUGGCGCAUACAAAGAGAAGCGACCUCGCGAGAGCAAGCGGACCUCAUAAAGUGCGUCGUAGUCCGGAUUGGAGUCUGCAACUCGACUCCAUGAAGUCGGAAUCGCUAGUAAUCGUGGAUCAGAAUGCCACGGUGAAUACGUUCCCGGGCCUUGUACACACCGCCCGUCACACCAUGGGAGUGGGUUGCAAAAGAAGUAGGUAGCUUAACCUUCGGGAGGGCGCUUACCACUUUGUGAUUCAUGACUGGGGUGAAGUCGUAACAAGGUAACCGUAGGGGAACCUGCGGUUGGAUCACCUCCUUACCUUAAAGAAGC